AUACUUACCUGGCAGGGAAGAUACCAUGAUCACAAAGGUGGUUUUCCCAGGGCGAGGCUUAUCCAUUGCCCUCUGGAUGUGCUGACCCCUGCGAUUUCCCCAAAUGUGGGAAACUCGACUGCACAAUUUGUGGUAGUGGGGGACUGUGUUCGCGCUUUCCCCUG
ensembl:snRNA U1 U1 spliceosomal RNA